GCUUAACACAUGCAAGUCGCACGAGAACGCUUCAGCUUGCUGAAGUAAGUAAAGUGGCGCACGGGUGAGUAACGCGUGGGUAAUCUACCCUCAAAUUGGGGAUAACCCGCCGAAAGGCGGGCUAAUACCGAAUGACAUCUUGAAGACUUAUGUUUUCAGGAUCAAAGGUGGCCUCUACAUGUAAGCUAUUGUUUGGGGAUGAGCCCGCGUACCAUUAGCUUGUUGGUAGGGUAAUGGCCUACCAAGGCUACGAUGGUCAGCUGGUCUGAGAGGAUGAUCAGCCACACUGGAACUGACACACGGUCCAGACUCCUACGGGAGGCAGCAGUGAGGAAUUUUGCGCAAUGGGGGAAACCCUGACGCAGCAACGCCGCGUGAGUGAUGAAGGCUUUCGGGUCGUAAAGCUCUGUCAAGUGGGAAGAACUCAUAUGGUGUUAAUAUCUCCAUAUGUUGACGGUACCACUGAAGGAAGCACCGGCUAACUCCGUGCCAGCAGCCGCGGUAAUACGGGGGGUGCGAGCGUUAUUCGGAAUUACUGGGCGUAAAGAGCGCGUAGGCGGUCUUUUAAGUCAGGUGUGAAAGCCCGGGGCUCAACCCCGGAAGUGCACUUGAAACUAAGAGACUUGAGUAUGGGAGAGGGAAGUGGAAUUCCUGGUGUAGCGGUGAAAUGCGUAGAUAUCAGAGGAACAUCAGUGGCGAAAGCGACUUCCUGGACCAAUACUGACGCUGAGGCGCGAAAGCGUGGGGAGCAAACAGGAUUAGAUACCCUGUAGUCCACGCAGUAAACGGUGAACACUAGUGUAGCGGGUAUUGACCCCUGCUGUGCC
rnacentral:rRNA from 1 species